AUUGAACGCUGGCGGCAGGCCUAACACAUGCAAGUCGAACGAGCGGCGGACGGGUGAGUAAUGUCUGGGAAACUGCCCGAUCGAGGGGGAUAACUACUGGAAACGGUAGCUAAUACCGCAUACCAUCAGAUGUGCCCAGAUGGGAUUUGCUUGUUGGGGGGGUAACGGCUCACCAAGGCGACGUUCCCUAGCUGGUCUGAGAGGAUGACCAGCCCCCCCGGAACUGAGACACGACCCCGACUCCUACGGGAGGCAGCCGUGGGGAAUAUUGCACAGUGGGCGCAAGCCUGCUGCGGCCAUGCCACGUGUAUGAAGGAGGCCUUCGGGUUGUAAAGUACUUUCAGCGGGGAGGCGUUACCCGCAGAAGAAGCACCGGCUAACUCCGUGCCAGCAGCCGCGGUAAUAC
rnacentral:rRNA from 1 species